rnacentral:rRNA from 1 species
UACGUAGGGGGCAAGCGUUGUCCGGAAUUAUUGGGCGUAAAGAGCGCGUAGGCGGUCCGGUAAGUCGGCUGUGAAAGUCAAGGGCUCAACCCUUGAAAGCCGGCCGAUACUGUCGGACUAGAGUCCGGAAGAGGCGAGUGGAAUUCCCGGUGUAGCGGUGAAAUGCGCAGAUAUCAGGAGGAACACCAAUAGCGAAGGCAGCUCGCUGGGACGGUACUGACGCUAAGGCGCGAAAGCGUGGGGAGCGAACAGG